UUUUUUUUGAGAUAGGGUUUUUCUGUAUCGCUUGGGAACCUGUUCUGGAACUCACUCUGCUGACCAGGUUAUCCUUGAACUCACAGAGAUCCACCUGCCUCUGCCUCCUGAGUACUGGGAUUAAAGUUGUGCGCCACCACCACCUGGCUGUCCUACUCUUACAAGGUGACCCCACCAUCUCUUCUCUAGACAUUUGUGUCUCUUCUGUGGAGGUGAAAACCUGUUUCUGCCAGUUUAAUUGCCAGAAAGUUUUAAUAUAGAAAAUUAUACAUAUUUGCUCAUGUGUACACUGCAACUGUUUUUUUUUUUAAUCUUGAGGCUUAAAAAAUACCUAUAUACACAGCCCACUGUGAUUUCUCAACUACUUCUGUAAGUGAGAUUAUUUUAAGCAAAUUCCUAGAUAAUUCAUGUGUGUGGCCACAGUCACUAAUUGCACAUUGACUUUUUGUUUUGAUUUUGAGAUAGUGUGGAAGCAUGCC
rnacentral:lncRNA from 1 species